rnacentral:lncRNA from 1 species
GGGACUUGACGAUGGCGCCUGCUCGUUCCUGUUGUGUUCUAUCUGAGGCAUGAUUUUCUUUCGUUUUUGGGAGGUAGAGAGCACGGGGCAGAGGUUGCACCUGACACAUUAGAACUCCGUUGUCACUGCUGUGGCUGUUAUUCCCCUCGGCAAGAGCCAAGGAGCAAACAGGACGGUGGGUCACCUCGCCAGCUAUUUAGCACCAUUUCCUUUCUCUUCCUCAACCUUGUUAGAAUUUUCUC